rnacentral:rRNA from 1 species
CCUACGGGAGGCAGCAGUGGGGAAUUUUGGACAAUGGGCGCAAGCCUGAUCCAGCCAUUCCGCGUGCAGGAUGAAGGCCCUCGGGUUGUAAACUGCUUUUGUACGGAACGAAAAGGCUCCGGUUAAUACCUGGGGCUCAUGACGGUACCGUAAGAAUAAGCACCGGCUAACUACGUGCCAGCAGCCGCGGUAAUACGUAGGGUGCAAGCGUUAAUCGGAAUUACUGGGCGUAAAGCGUGCGCAGGCGGUUUUGUAAGACAGAGGUGAAAUCCCCGGGCUCAACCUGGGAACUGCCUUUGUGACUGCAAAGCUGGAGUGCGGCAGAGGGGGAUGGAAUUCCGCGUGUAGCAGUGAAAUGCGUAGAUAUGCGGAGGAACACCGAUGGCGAAGGCAAUCCCCUGGGCCUGCACUGACGCUCAUGCACGAAAGCGUGGGGAGCAAACAGGAUUAGAUACCCUGGUAGUCCACGCCCUAAACGAUGUCAACUGGUUGUUGGGCCUUCACUGGCUCAGUAACGAAGCUAACGCGUGAAGUUGACCGCCUGGGGAGUACGGCCGCAAGGUUGAAACUCAAAUGAAUUGACGG